GAAUGGGCAGAUGUUGAUGAUCACUUGGUAUUGAUUGGUGCAGAUACUGAGUGUUCAAGUACUUAAGGGUCAUGUCACUGGUUAAAUUGUCUCUUUGGAGUAGAGUGCACAAUUAUUAAACCAACUUUUAUGCCUCCCCCUCCACACAUAUACAUACUGGCUUAUUUUCUAGUUAAAAAUCAAAGUUGCUCAGAUUCCACUUUGAUGUCAGUGCAGAUGUGCAUUGCAUCAUGCUGUUAUAUUUUCUCUCAUUUUGAUGCUGUUGGGCCUUAGUUUUAUAUUGGUUUAAAGAACUCAACAAUAGUUUAUUUUCUGUUCAUACUUAAGAGCCUAGGAAACAUGACCAUUGAUCAUCAUUUAAUCAACUUUUAAUGUUCUACUGAAAUAAAUAUGGUAACCUUUCAGUAGCAGAUCAUUUACAGUAGUCAUUUCCAGAAGACACUUACACAGAAUUGCACUUCCAAAUCAAAUCAUCUGAUCAUAGUUAUUCCCGUGAAAGGUAGAAUGUUUGUUUGAAAAUUAAUCUAGUUUUCUGUACAUUUAAAAUUUGAUUGCAAAGGUGACAGCUGGCUCUUAUCCAGUCUUCCUUCAUAUCAGUUUUCUGAUAGACCACUAUUGGCAAACAGUAAUCUGUCAACUACCAAAUGUGUAAAAUUUUCUGUAUUUCACUUUGUCUUAUUUGUAAAUAGUGAACUAAAACUUCUGGCAGAUCAGCAACAUUUGCUGAGCCUGUUUUUUAAGCUAAUAUGUAUUCUUACUAAUGUUCCUAUCAAGAAUGGAUUUGUAAUAUAUGCUGUCUAUUUCUAAUGUUCACAUUCAUAUUUUGAGGUUCUAUCUUAUUUUAAUAGAGAACAGACUUCUCAGAAAAUCUUCAGAAGCAGCUUAUUAUUAAAAUAUCAAAAUAUUGAAAUAAACCCGGUGGGGUUAGAGUACUCAUCCGUCCACCAAGUGGGACAUUUGCAUGGACUGGGGGCUUAAAGGACGUAAAAGAGACCUGUAAGUAUAUCCUGAAAAUGAGCCAAUCAAUCCCCACUUGAAUGGUUACUGGAGUAAACCCACCUUUACUACUCUGAUUUUAGCACCUGAGGCAGAUAAACCACCUUGGCUCUGUUUCAUUUUUCUUCUCUUCAUUUGUGAUGCUCAGAUCCAAGAUGCGUGUUCUAGACUGUGUACAGGCUUCUCUUUUUUGAGUUAAAAAUUUUAGUCCUACUUUUGUAUGGACAUGUUAGAAUGUAAAGUGACCAAAAUAGAAGACUUGCCAUUAGAUAUUUUUCAGACAUCAGCAGAUUUGUGGCAAAUCAUUUGCCUUUUUAAAAAUUCAGCUUGAACAGUUCAGACAGUAGACUACUCAGAAAAAAUUAUUUGACAUAAUUGUCUAAGAGGUAAAUAUUUUUUAGUGCGUACUGAAUCAAAUAAAGUGCUCUAAAGAAGUUAUUAUACAAAUUUCUUUGGGUUGUUUUUCUUUUCUUAACAAGUGGUGGGGGUAAAAAUGAAUAUGAUUCAAGCCUUCUGAUGGUAUAUUGGUUUUAUUAUUGCUACUGACUUCAUUCUGUGGCUUUCUUUUAGCUUCUUUUUCAGUUUCGUUAUAAGUUAAACUUCAAAACAUAUACCAAACUUUUAUCAUUUUACUCAAAUUUUAAGUUCUUUAAGAACAGGUUUCUUAUAAAAAGGAGAAAAUUGUUUUAAAACGCCUUUAUCUGUGUGCAUUUUCCUCUUUUCCACAACAUUCAUGAUUUCAUUUUAUCAGGAGACUUACCGAAGGGCACAUUUUUGGAAAGUGAUGAGUAACAGUAUAACUUCAUUUUGCCAAGCCACUGAGUUCUAAUAUUUUAUGCUUGCUCUUCAUAUGAAUACUUUUCACGAGUCUUAGAUAAUAGGUUCUACCAACGGGGGCAGAAACAAAAAUUUUAAGUAAAUAUUUAUUUCUUGAUAUUUGGGGCCUUAAAAAGUAGUGUGUUUCAUUCAAAACAUUUCCAUGUUAGAUGGCGUUUUUGUUUUCUUUUAAUUUAAGAUUAGUUCUUUAAAAAGCUACUUAUUGCCAGCAUUUAACAGGCUUCAUUUCUCUUAACAGAAGGUAGUUCAUAUGGCUGAGGAAUUACUAUUAAAUUAUAUAGCUAGCAACAAACCACGUUUAAGUGAAGGUAUUCACUUUAGAUUUCAUUAAAGCUUUUUUCUUGCACAUUUAUCAUUGUGUUUCUAAGCUGAUUUGUUCAGCACUAAUAUGACUGUAAAAAAAUAUAAAAAUUUAAAUUGGUAUUCAGAUAUCUUACAUGUUUUCCUACUCAUUUAUGUUUUAAAAAGACAAACAUUGAAUAUUGAUCCCUGAAGGUGUUUGUUUUGAUACUCCCUUACAUUUGUGUUCUUUGUUAAAAGGCAGUAUUUUUGAUUUGUAGAUGUUAAAUGUUUCCUUAAAAGCUUGCAAACUUUCACCACACUUCAUUUUUCAUUUUCACUAAGAACAAAGUGUUCCUCAGUCUGUUCCUCUGGCUUAAAUUUGUCUUUUUGUAGCACUGAGUGAAGGAAUUGCUUUGCAAGGUGAAGUAUGUAUGUGUUUCAAAGUAUGGUUAAAUUGUAGGUCAUGCGCUAUAUUGAAACAUCAAAUCAUUACCACAGAGAAAGGUUAAGGCAUUGAAUCCACUGUUGAAAUUAUUCUUUUUGGAAUCAACAAGGUACUUUCUGACUUCUAUUCUUAUAUAAGGGAAUUUUAAAUAAAUUUUAAAGUUAGUUAAUUCUAAUUUUUUGUUAUAACACUUUGAGAUUUUUAGUUAAUCCAAAGAAAUAAUGCUUUUAAAUAGAAGCAAAAGGUUUAUGGUGUGCAAAUUACAGAUUUACCAAUUACCUCAGCAGGUAUCCUGCCAUGUAACUAUUAGUGAUUAGUUUUAAUAAGCCAGUAGACUUAGGUUUUCUGACUAUGCUCCUGGGUUGUGGCCUACCAUACGUUAUUAAACAGUCUCUUAGUAGUCAAAAUGGGAGUAAAUGCUGUGGCCCCCUCUUGGCCUUUUAAAGUCCUUUACCCAUGCUCACUCACAUACAACACAUGAAGUAUAAAAAUCUCAUUUCUUGAGGUCAGCACUGCUUAUUUGCAUACUUAACUUUGGAUCAGUGAGUAGUUUUAUAAAAUCCAACCUCCCCAACUUCCCUAAUUAAAGCAAUCAAGUUCUUAAUUCAUACCAUGAAUUCUUAUACCAUCUAUAUUAAUAAUCUGCUGGAGGUGAUCCAAGGUUUAGUGUAUUGCAGCUUGAUCAUAUACCAGACCUGGAUGUUUUAUUUCUCUCACAGUUAUCUCCUCCUUGAUAAAGCAAUAACACUGCUUUAAGUCUGUUGCCUAAUAGCAUGUCAUAAUCCUCUCCUGGAUGGUGAUUUUAUAGGAAAGUUUGUAUGCAUAUCACCCAGUCUAUCUUUUAAAAAUUAAGGAAUUUAAAUGUAUGCUGGAGCUAAUGACAAUAUAUUGUGGCAUUUUAUUUUAAAAAUUGGGGAAAGUUGCAUAUUUUUUUAAAAGUAGGCAUUUGAGUAAAAGAAUUGAAGGUACUUUUUUAAGAAAAAAAUUUAUAUGCCACAGUUUACAUAGACCUUUCAGAUUUCAACAUGUACUCUUGGAUAUAAUGGUUUGUUUUAUUUGGUCAAAAUGCAUGUAUAGCAUUUCUUCCAUUUAGUUCCUUGUGUUUGCCUUCGUGGUCUUUUAUAUAUUUUUUAUUGUAUCUGAGAAACAAAAUUAUCUUUGAAAAUAAGUCAAUUUGGAUAUAUUUGUUAUGAUCACACUACAAAAUGUACAAAAUUAAGUUUAGCCCUUUUCUAGAAAGCAAGUGAUCUUUAAAAUUAAAAAUGCUGUUCUUUUAAAUUCACCAAAUUUGUAUGUGGGAAGGCACUGAAAUGAUUUUGUAAGUGCCACUGCAGUACUCCCUUUCAAGUGUGGCCUAAAUUUCAAUCUUAAGAACGAAAUGCAUGUCUGCUCCUGGUCUGAAAAAUGUAGGUAUUAACUAUGUUUUAAAUCACAGUGAAACAUGUAUAUAAGCCUAUAACAAAAAGAUUUGUGCAAUCUGAAAGCCUGUUGAUUUUCUAUGUAGACAUACCUACACACGAAAGGGUUAAAUUCACAUCCCUACUAGUUCCUUGCUUCCAGUAUUUCAACUCUUCUCCCCUCAUUAUUAUUAAUAUUACAAUUACUAUUAUUUUUGCACAUAGUUAACUACCCGUCAAUAUGAUUCUGAAAGAAAAAGUGCUGUUUCUGUGGUAUUGUAUUCUCUAAAUCAUCAUAUUUAAUUUUUUAAACAAGGUUGCAGUUUCUAAUUGUUCCGUUCCUGUGUUUUUUGCUGGUGUGUAAUAAAAGCAAGAUUUUCUUUUCAUGGUUAUUUAAUACAUUAGCUACCUGUAAAUACUUCUUGUUAUAAUGCUCUGGAAUGUGUUGUAGAAGUUGUAUUAGAUUAGUUUAAAGCUUUGUUUGAAAGCCACAUUGUUUUGGUUAUUUCUAUUAAAUUAGAAAAUUG
rnacentral:lncRNA from 1 species